AACAUCGCCUCUUGAACCCUUAUAAGAGGUCCAGCCUGCCCAGUGACUCUGUUCAACGGCCGCGGUAUCCUAACCGUGCGAAGGUAGCGUAAUCACUUGUUCUUUAAAUGUGGACUAGUAUGAAUGGCAUCACGAAGGUUAUACUGUCUCCUUUUUCUAAUCAGUGAAACUAAUCUCCCCGUGAAGAAGCGAGGAUAAAACUAUAAGACGAGAAGACCCUAUGGAGCUUUAAACAUUUAUAACACUUGCUAAAUAAAAUACAAAUUUCAGAAUUAUUUACUCUUUAAGCAACUUGUCUAUAAGUUUUUGGUUGGGGUGACCGCGGAGCAUAAUACAACCUCCAUGUUGAAAGAUCUAUUUCUAAGCUAAGAGCUACACCUCUAAGCAUCAACAUAUUGACAUCCAUUGACCCAAUAUAUUUGAACAACGAACCAAGUUACCCUAGGGAUAACAGCGCAAUCCACUUCAAGAGCUCCUAUCGACAAGUGGGUUUACGACCUCGAUGUUGGAUCAGGGUUUCCCAGUGGUGCAGCCGCUACUAAAGGUUCGUUUGUUCAACGAUUAAAACCCU
rnacentral:rRNA from 1 species